rnacentral:rRNA from 1 species
CCGGGCAACCGGGUGAGGGAAGUGGCGAAAGGGGCAGUAAGGCGUGGGUAACCUGCCCCGGAGUUCGGAAUAGUCCUCCUAACGGAGGGGUAAUACCGAAUGCCGUGCCGGAGGGGCAUCCUUCGGGCACGAAAGCUCCGGCGCUCCGGGAGGGGCCCAUGUGAUAUUAGCUUGUUGGUGAGGUAACGGCUCACCAAGGCCAAGAUGUCUAGCAGGUGUGAGAGCACGACCUGCGCCACUGGCACUGGGACACUGGCCAGACUCCUACGGGAGGCUGCAGUCGAGGAUCUUCGGCAAUGGGCGCAAGCCUGACCGAGCGACGCCGCGUGUGCGAUGAAGGCCUUCGGGUUGUAAAGCACUGUCGUGAGAGAGAAAAGCCCGCAAGGGUUUGAUCGAUCUCAGGAGGAAGCACGGGCUAAGUUCGUGCCAGCAGCCGCGGUAAGACGAACCGUGCGAACGUUGUUCGGAAUCACUGGGCUUAAAGGGCGCGUAGGCGGGCGAUCAAGUCCGGGGUGAAAUCCUCCAGCUCAACUGGAGAAGUGCCUUGGAUACUGGUUGUCUCGAGGGAGGUAGGGGCGUGCGGAACUUCCGGUGGAGCGGUGAAAUGCGUAGAUAUCGGAAGGAACACCGGUGGCGAAAGCGGCGCGCUGGACCUCUUCUGACGCUGAGGCGCGAAAGCCAGGGGAGCAAACGGGAUUAGAUACCCCGGUAGUCCUGGCCCUAAACGAUGGGUACUAGGUUGUGGACUUACAUGGGUUCACAGCCGAAGCAAAAGUAUUAAGUACCCCGCCUGGGGAG